rnacentral:rRNA from 1 species
GAUGAACGCUGGCGGCGUGCCUAAUACAUGCAAGUCGAGCGAACAGACGAGGAGCUUGCUCCUCUGACGUUAGCGGCGGACGGGUGAGUAACACGUGGAUAACCUACCUAUAAGACUGGGAUAACUUCGGGAAACCGGAGCUAAUACCGGAUAAUAUAUUGAACCGCAUGGUUCAAUAGUGAAAGACGGUUUUGCUGUCACUUAUAGAUGGAUCCGCGCCGCAUUAGCUAGUUGGUAAGGUAACGGCUUACCAAGGCAACGAUGCGUAGCCGACCUGAGAGGGUGAUCGCCCACCCUGGAACUGAGACACGGUCCAGACUCCUACGGGAGGCCGCAGUAGGGAAUCUUCCGCAAUGGGCGAAAGCUUGACGGAGCAACGCCGCGUGAGUGAUGAAGGUCUUCGGAUCGUAAAACUCUGUUAUUAGGGAAGAACAAAUGUGUAAGUAACUAUGCACGUCUUGACGGUACCUAAUCAGAAAGCCACGGCUAACUACGUG